UACGUAGGUGGCAAGCGUUGUCCGGAUUUACUGGGCGUAAAGAGCGCGCAGGCGGUCGUUCAAGUCGCGUGUGAAAGCCCCCCGGCUCAACUGGGGAGGGUCACGCGAUACUGAUCGACUCGAAGGCAGGAGAGGGUAGUGGAAUUCCCGGUGUAGUGGUGAAAUGCGUAGAUAUCAGGAGGAACACCGAUGGCGAAGGCAGCUUCCUGGUCCAAUUCUGACGCUGAGGUGCGAAAGCGUGGGUAGCGAACGGG
rnacentral:rRNA from 1 species